rnacentral:tRNA from 1 species
GUUGUGGCUCAGUGGUAGAACAUUUUCCUAGUAUGUGUGAGGCCCUGGGUUGGAUCCUCAGUACAACA